GACGAACGCUGGCGGCGUGCUUAACACAUGCCAGUCGAACGGAAAGGCCCUGCUUUUGUGGGGUGCUCGAGUGGCGAACGGGUGAGUAACACGUGAGAACCUGCCCUUGACUUUGGGAUAACUUCAGGAAACUGGGGCUAAUACCGGAUAGGAGCUCCUGCUGCAUGGUGGGGGUUGGAAAGUUUCGGCGGUUGGGGAUGGACUCGCGGCUUAUCAGCUUGUUGGUGGGGUAGUGGCUUACCAAGGCUUUGACGGGUAGCCGGCCUGAGAGGGUGACCGGCCACAUUGGGACUGAGAUACGGCCCAGACUCCUACGGGAGGCAGCAGUGGGGAAUAUUGCACAAUGGGCGGAAGCCUGAUGCAGCAACGCCGCGUGCGGGAUGACGGCCUUCGGGUUGUAAACCGCUUUCGCCUGUGACGAAGCGUGAGUGACGGUAAUGGGUAAAGAAGCACCGGCUAACUACGUG
rnacentral:rRNA from 1 species